rnacentral:rRNA from 1 species
AGUCGACGGACUUACAUUGAAGCCUAGCGAUAUGUAAGUUAGUGGCGGACGGGUGAGUAACGCGUGGGUAACCUGCCUUGUACUGGGGGACAACAGUUGGAAACGACUGCUAAUACCGCAUAAGCGCACAGCUUCGCAUGAAGCAGUGUGAAAGACUCCGGUGGUACAAGAUGGACCCGCGUCUGAUUAGCUGGUUGGUGAGGUAACGGCCCACCAAGGCGACGAUCAGUAGCCGGCCUGAGAGGGUGAACGGCCACAUUGGGACUGAGACACGGCCCAAACUCCUACGGGAGGCAGCAGUGGGGAAUAUUGCACAAUGGGGGAAACCCUGAUGCAGCAACGCCGCGUGAGUGAAGAAGUAUUUCGGUAUGUAAAGCUCUAUCAGCAGGAAAGAAAAUGACGGUACCUGACUAAGAAGCCCCGGCUAACUACGUGCCAGCAGCCGCGGUAAUACGUAGGGGGCAAGCGUUAUCCGGAUUUACUGGGUGUAAA